AUCAUUACUUAUUUAUUGAGAAAGAGAGUCUUCUCUCUCUCUCUCAAUUAAAAAUCAUCCACAGUGUGGGAAAUGUCUUUCAUUUAAACGCUUGUGCCUGGUAUAGUCUAGUGCUACCACUUGAGUUUAUCUUUUAGUCAAUGGACUUUUAGAUAGUGCUUUUUUCCUUGGAAGAUAGCACCUCUUGUAAAAGGGGAUAGAUUUCAUUUUAUUAUACUUUUUUUUUUUUUAACUGAACGAUAGACCAUAAAAUCUAUGGUUGUUUUUUAUUAUAAAAAAAUUAAAAACAACUUUCAGCAAUGGAUCUCUCGGYUUUCGUAUCGAUGAAGAACGCAGCAAAUCGCGAUAUGUAAUGUGAUCUGCCUAUAGKGAAUCAUCAAAUCUUUGAACGCAUCUUGCACCUUAUGGCAUUCCAUAAGGUACGUCUGUUUCAGUACCACUAAUAAAUCUCCCUCCUCCAUCUUUGUUGAUGAUAGGAUAAAAAAAAAAAGGAGAUAAAUCAUUACUGGUUCUGGUGAUUUUUGAAUUUUUUUUUAUUAAAAAAAAUCAAGAAUUGCUCUCAACCUAAAUAUAAGGCUAGACUUGAAAGGUUUAUUCUUUCUUGGUCGGCUUUAAUAGAAUUUAUUCUAUGAAAGGUUUAUAGCCAUUUAUUUUUUUUUCAAAAUCUUGGCCUGAAAUCAGAUGGGACUACCCGCUGAACUUAAGCAUAUCAAUAAGCGGAGGA
rnacentral:rRNA from 1 species